rnacentral:rRNA from 1 species
GAUGAACGCUGGCGGCGUGCCUAAUACAUGCAAGUCGAGCGAACAGACGAGGAGCUUGCUCCUCUGACGUUAGCGGCGGACGGGUGAGUAACACGUGGAUAACCUACCUAUAAGACUGGGAUAACUUCGUGAAACCGGAGCUAAUACCGGAUAAUAUAUUGAACCGCAUGGUUCAAUAGUUAAAGACGGUUUUGCUGUCACUUAUAGAUGGAUCCGCGUCGCAUUAGCUAGUUGGUAAGGUAACGGCUUACCAAGGCGACGAUGCGUAGCCGACCUGAGAGGGUGAUCGGCCACACUGGAACUGAGACACGGUCCAGACUCCUACGGGAGGCAGCAGUAGGGAAUCUUGCGCAAUGGGCGAAAGCCUGACGGAGCAACGCCGCGUGAGUGAUGAAGGUCUUCGGAUCGUAAAACUCUGUUAUUAGGGAAGAACAAAUGUGUAAGUAACUAUGCACGUCUUGACGGUACCUAAUCAGAAAGCCACGGCUAACUACGUG